rnacentral:rRNA from 1 species
UAAGCGGAGGAAAAGAAACUAACAAGGAUUCCCCUAGUAACGGCGAGUGAAGCGGGAUGAGCUCAAAUUUGAAAGCUGGCAGCAAUGUCCGCGUUGUAAUCUCGAGAGAUGUUUUCCGCGUGAGACCACGUACAUGUUCCUUGGAAUAGGAUGUCAUAGAGGGUGAGAACCCCGUACUUGACGUGGACGCCCCAUGCUUUGUGAUACAUCUUCGAAGAGUCGAGUUGUUUGGGAAUGCAGCUCAAAAUGGGUGGUAAAUUCCAUCUAAAGCUAAAUAUUGGGGAGAGACCGAUAGCGAACAAGUACCGUGAGGGAAAGAUGAAAAGCACUUUGGAAAGAGAGUUAAACAGUACGUGAAAUUGUCAAAAGGGAAGCACUUAAAGUCAGACAUGUAUCGUAGUAUUCAGCCUUGCUUCUGCUUGGUGUUUUUGCUGCAGUACAGGCCAACAUCAGUUUUGGAUGGCGGAUAAGGGUAUGGGGAAUGUGGCACCCUCGGGUGUGUUAUAGCCCUGUACUAGAUACGUCGUCUGGGACUGAGGAACGCAGCGCGCCGUAAGGCAGGCCCUCGGGCACUUUCGCGCUUAGGAUGUUGGCGUAAUGGCUUUAAGUGACCCGUCUYGAA